rnacentral:rRNA from 1 species
UACGGAGGGAGCUAGCGUUGUUCGGAAUUACUGGGCGUAAAGCGCGCGUAGGCGGCUUUGUAAGUUAGAGGUGAAAGCCCGGGGCUCAACCCCGGAAUUGCCUUUAAGACUGCAUCGCUUGAAUCCGGGAGAGGUGAGUGGAAUUCCGAGUGUAGAGGUGAAAUUCGUAGAUAUUCGGAAGAACACCAGUGGCGAAGGCGGCUCACUGGACCGGCAUUGACGCUG